rnacentral:snRNA from 1 species
ACACAUUUUUCGGUCUUUUGGUAAGAUCAAGUGUAAUAUUUGUUUACCAGUUCAAUAUCUAGUAUAUGAACAAUAUGUUCACUUUGACAUUAAAUUCAUUUACUAUGAGGCUCCGUUU